CAAAUAAUGCCUGUUUUAUAUAUAUAUAUAUAUAUAUAUAUACACACAUAUGUAUGUAUGUAUGUAUGUAUGUAUUCAUGAUACUAUAUCAUCCUUCACUGGGUUUGCCAUAAGUUCUCGAUAUUUUACAAUUGAGUUUUAUGUCUACUGAUUGAAAUGUUUUGAUCAAUUGCUGAAAUUAGCAGGUUAUAGUGCUUCUUGCACUUUAGUCGACUAAGUAAUAAGCCCCGAGUUGAGUCAUUGUCAACCGAACUUAAGAAUAAGGAGGUCGAGGAGAGAGAAACAAUGUAGCCGCAAAGCCGAACUUUGUAAACCUUUAUUUCUUUCCUUUAAAGCUCAACUUUAAAGCCGAACUUAAGAAUAAGGAGACUCCAAUCUAAUUUUGUUUACAUCAUACACCUUUGUCCAUCUAAUGGAUGAAAAUAAUGGUAGUUAAUUAUAAAAGAUAAGGAUUUCACAUAGGUCAGUUGGGAGAGAAGCGGUUGGUGGAUGGGUGGAAAUAUCCUUAAAAAGGGUUUUUUCUGUGUAUAUACCCUUAUAAAUAUCUGAAAUUACAUGUAUAAACUCAUAAAUUUGUUAUUGACAUGAAUAUCCUUAUAAAUUAUUCUUUUUACAUGUAUAUCAUUCUAUAAAAUUGCAUAUAUACCCUUGAAAUUUGUUAUUUACAUGUAUACUCUUAUAAUUAUGGCUUUUUGCAUGUACACCAUUAUAAAUUACUUCUUUUUACAUUUAUGCCCUUAAUAAAGGUGGACAUGCUAAAAGAAAUAAUCUAUGAGGUUAUACACAUAAGUAGUAAAUUUGUGAGCCUUUUCUUUUCCUUAUUUUCUUUCUUUCCUUUCUUUUCCUUUAUUCCCUUUUUUGGCACUUAUGUGUUUGCUUAGAUGCAAUAAGCUACUCGAAAAACUUACUUUUUCUAAUGGUGUGUUUUUUUGUUGCUUCUCCUUUAUAAGGAGAGAAGGAGAAGCUAGAAGCUAGGUUUCCUAGCUUCUCCUAAAAGCGCUUUUUAUCUUUUUCAUAUAGUAGUACUUUUCUGAUAAUGUUACCAAACAAUUAUUUUUCAGGAAAGUGUAUUUUUUCACUUUAUAUGCCAUAAAAUCUCUUUUUUAAGCAAUACCAAAUAUGCCCUGAGAAAAUCUUGUUUUCAAUUUUUUUAUUCUAACAAAAAAUGACAAAUUUAGAGAUUGAUUUCUAUAUCUCCAAAAAACAUGCUCCUUUGCCUGGAAAAGUCUUGUUUUUCUAUUUCUCUUCCAAAAAUUUCCUUGCAACACAACAUCUCUUGAGGGCAUUCGGAUCCUUUCUUUGCUAUGCCAUGCAGUUAACCUGGAAAUUAGAGGGGCUAGACAGCUUCCCUCCCUCUCUCUAAUGUGGGGCUCUGGACUUAUGAAUUUUGAAUCAUCUAUGAAAGUUAGAUUGAUGACAGUCUUUCAAUUAUGAUAGUUGGUUGAAAAGACUGCUAAAACUUUAUGAAUGAACUCUUAAAGAUACAGAAUAUUUGGUAAAUACCCCCUACACUCAUAAAAAAGACUUCUGUGACUCGCUGGAACUAAUCAAGGUUAGAAUUUUGCCAGUUGAUGCCUAAUUGGGCUCUGUUUUCCUUAAAGACAAUCCAUAAUCUAAACUAUAUAUCAAUUGUAAGCUCAUGGAGAUUGGUGACAUAUUUCAAUAGUGAUUGAUAUCCAUGUCUGUGUUCUUAUCAACUAACUAACAGAGGAUUUGGAUAUGGAUCUAGGAUUAAGGUACCAAUAGUAUUACCUCAUCUGACUGGUACCGUACCAUUCCACAAAGAAAAUACUGAUCUAUGCAUGAACUGGGAUAUCCCGCUAGUCCUGCUUGGAAUUGGUUGGGACCCCGGUGUCAACCUAUUCGGCUGCUACCAGCUAGCACUCAAUGUGUCUUUGUUUAGAAAAGAAGAGAAAUGUGGCCAUCCCUGCUGCUCUCUUUUCUCUCAUCUUCAUUCACAGGAGGGCCUAAGGCGUAGGGGGGAGAGAGAGAGAGAGAGAGAAAAGGAGAGGAUACAUAAAGGAGGGAAAGGAGGAAGGCUCAGCUGAGAAAUACAGAGAGACUUCCCUAGGAGUCAGGACAGUAGGGUCUUGGUACCAUACAAACUGGGGACCAAAAUACAGUGGUCUGCAUCGGGUUUUAAACCCUCGAUAUGGAUAUAACAAAAAUUUGACCUAUAUCCAAUCUGUUUUCAUCCUUAUUUGGUAAUUAGUCAUAUCAAUCAAUAUUCACAUGUGAUUGUUUGGUUUUGUUACAAAAAAUAUAAUUGUCUGUCAUUAUGAAAUUUGAAUAUAUUUAUUAUUAUUGCUUCUCUUCUUUCUAUGUGGUGGGUCUCCACAGAAAUUUGGAUGAUCACUAUGAAAUGAGUGAACGGCUGUCUUUUAAUUGUGAUAGUUCGAAGAAAGGAUUUGUAAAACUUGCAACUAAGUUAUUUACACAUACAUUUCUUAGCAAAGACUCCCUAGAUUCAUAAAAGAAACUCCAUAGAUUUUAUUAGGGCUGUAAAUUUUGCCACUUGAUGCCUAAAUGAGCCUCAUUUUGCUCGAGAAACACAAUCCACCAUCUAAUCUGCAUUAGUUGUGAGCAGACAUGGGAGUACAUCUUUCAGUAGUCCAAUUGACAUCAAUAUCCAUAUUCUUAUCCACUAACUAAAAGAGGAUUUGGAUAUGGACAUAACAAAUAUUCGACCCCUGUCCUAUCUGUUUUCAUCCUUGUCAAUUAAUUAGUCAUAUAAAUGAAAAUCACUUGUAAUUAUUUAAUUUUGAGCUAGAAAAAUAGCUAAAAUCCUUAUGAAAUUUAUAUGUAAAAUGUUGAACUAGAUUAUUUUUUGGAUAAUGCAAGAUGUCUUGACCAAUUUGGUUUGACAGUCAUGAAAUUAUGAUUGUGCAUGAGUUUCUAUCCAUACACUUUUGGAGAUCAUGUCCUGACAGUGUUUUAAAAGUUACAAGAGUACAAGUUUCUAUUAUCCCUAGAGCAAUUUGAUCUAUGUGCAUUACCUUGACUUUAGUAGACUAGGUAGGCCGCUUCAUGCAGGUUUGGAUAGCGUCUGGGUCCAUGAUAAGCGACAACCAGCCCUUGCAUGUGAAAUUUAACUUAGAAAGGCCAUAACUUCCUCAAAGUCGAUUUGCAAGGUGUUACAUGACCAAAUGAUUAGGUCGGUUAGCACUUCAUUGAAUUAAAUGGGAAAAAACCCUUCACUAAUCGCCUUUGUCGUGGAUUUAAGCUUGUUUUCUGCCCCAAAAUAUUUGUCAGACCUGGUUUACUAUAUCUAGUAAAGUUUGACUGAAGUUUAUUUUUCAAUCUAUAAGAACUUCAAGUAUGGUGUAGAAGGCAUAGUUGGUAUGUAAGGCAUCACAUGGUGUUCUGUUGGAAUUGCAUUUUUUGUAAUUUACAGCAAACCAUACUUACUGUUAGAGGAAUUGCUACUUUGAUCAGCUGAGGAAGUGAAUUCCAAUUAAGAGAGAUGAACCUUGUUAGCAUAAACAAAGGUGAUGCAGCCCCCUGCACCUGGGCCGCGAAAUAGAAUUAUAGCAAAACAAAUAGGAAAGGAUAACUGGAGGGAAGAUAGUGUGUCUUUCUGUCCCUUUCCUCUUCCUCUUUCUUUUGUUCACCUGACAAAAUAAAACCUAACAUACUAAAAAUUGUUAAUAUAGUAUUUCAGGUUAAGACACCAUGCCAUGCAAUUUGAACCCUCCAAAUUGAGAUUAGGGAAUCGAAUGUCAACCAUGCAAACAAACGAACACCAAAACUGCAAAUAAAAGUUCUAAAGACUAAAACUCUGUGACCAAAUGUCAAGAAACCUGAUCAUAUUAAAAGACCAUUGUAGUCCUCAAAGGGGCUCUCUUAUGACGGUUUGUAAAAUUGCAAACAUAAGAACCUUACUUUCAAUUUUUCGUGGAAAUUACUUUUCUCUUUCAUGGCUUUUAGUUGGAGAUUCGAGCUAAUCAGAUUGAAGAAAGAGAUUACUUACCUUUUUGAUUGGAUGACAAUUUUUGAGGAUUUUGUUGAAGUUGACAGUUGGCAUCAUUCAAGUACAAGAACCUACCACUGGACAAGGUCACAAAGGUUGCAUGCCAUAAGAAAUAACAUUUUAGGUGGCUUAGGUGUUUAAGUAACAGAUGAUCUUAAGAAUUGCAGCUUAGUUAUGCCUCAAGAAUGGAUGCGUCUGUUUUAAUUGGCUACACAAUAUAAUUGAGUCCAGGAUUACAUGCGUUUAAGUAACCAAACAUGUGAAAAUAGGCAAAGGCAUUUAAUUAAAAAAAGCAGGUUUUAUGAAGUAGAGAGAUGUUGCCAGGUUAUUUUGUGCUUGUCUGGCACCUUUAAGAUUGAAUAUAUAUUUUUUAGUACAAUAUUAAGGUUGACAAUGUUACAUGAAUCAGAGAAUUCGAAUAUGAGAGGGGUCCUAAUUAUAACAUAGAUGAGAAUAAGUGGAUAGUUCAUAUAGCUAGGGUCAUGUUAGAAAUGAAUACAACCGUAGGGAACAUAUAGGACACAGCUUGAGGAUAAAAUGGUGGAGAAGCAGCUUAAUAGUGAUGGGCUUGUUCAUCAAUAAGCUGAGAAGUCCCUAGCAAGGUGAGCAAAUUAUAUUUCUGUUGAAUGCGGAAGCAGAGGAGCAGAAGAUAUCAGGAAGAAUACAAAUACUGAGAAAAGAUCUAUAAAAGCUGCCAGUAACUACAGAUACAGCUCUCGAAAUGAGUGGAUAAGAAGAUUCUGUAGACCUGACCACACGUGUGUAAGUUCAUGCAUGUUUUGCUGUGCUUACAUGUGCAGUGUUUGUCCAGCAUGAUUAUAAAUCAUAUCAAUUGCUGCACUCAUGCUAUAAUAUUAGUAGAGUUUCUUAUUAUUCAUCUGGAUCAUUUAUCAAUUAUUAAUUGUAAAGUCACUUGUCAAUUGUUAAUGCUAUGUCUUCAUAAUAUAGGUUUCCUGCCAUUUGGAUUAAUUUAUUAUACUAUAUAAACAAAUUUAUCUAAGACCCGAAAUAUUUCUUAGCUUUUGCUUAAAGGCUUAAAUAAUUCUAUAUGCUUCAGCGAUUUCUUUUAUCUUAAAAUGGUUAUAUUGCGCUUAAGUGCUCCAUGUCGAAGCUAGUAUUACUUUUUAUGUAAUCAACUAUACAAAUUGAAGAGUCUGCCUGACCACUUCUGCAUUUCAAUGUACUUUUAUUACUCUUUUUUAUGAUUACUAUACUCCCCUUGAGAGGCAUAAACAAUACGCACACACAUACCCAAACACACUAGCAGACAUAUAAUAAUAUGAGAUGUUUGAUAUAUGUUUAUGCUGUAACAUCAUUACCUUUUACUAUCACUUGAUGUAGUAAUUCUGGCCUGUUAGUUUAUGUUAUUAAUGAGUUUGCAUAUUUCAUGUUGAUUGUUUGCUACUAUCACAACCUAGGACCCUGGACUUUGUUAGCCGUAAGAUAUUAUUUGGACUUCUUGGCCCUAUAUAAGUAUCCAAGAUCUAUCCAUUGCAUAACUGAUGUGGGAUUAAGCACAUGCCCACACAGGUCCUCACAACUACUAUUUUUUGGUAUUUGUUGAUCUAGCAAGUCCAGCCUUUGUUGAUCAAUUUGUUAGUUUCUUUGCACCUUUGAGUGAUCUGAACUUUUUCAACUGGAUUUUUU